rnacentral:tRNA from 2 species
GCGCCCGUAGCUCAACUGGAUAGAGCACCUGCCUUCUAAGCAGGAUGUUGCAGGUUCGAGUCCUGCCGGGCGCGCCA